UCGUAACAAGGUUUCCGUAGGUGAACCUGCGGAAGGAUCAUUACCGAGUGCGGGCCCCUCGGGGCCCAACCUCCCACCCGUGUUGCCCGAACCUAUGUUGCCUCGGCGGGCCCCGCGCCCGCCGACGGCCCCCCUGAACGCUGUCUGAAGUUGCAGUCUGAGACCUAUAACGAAAUUAGUUAAAACUUUCAACAACGGAUCUCUUGGUUCCGGCAUCGAUGAAGAACGCAGCGAAAUGCGAUAACUAAUGUGAAUUGCAGAAUUCAGUGAAUCAUCGAGUCUUUGAACGCACAUUGCGCCCUCUGGUAUUCCGGAGGGCAUGCCUGUCCGAGCGUCAUUGCUGCCCUCAAGCCCGGCUUGUGUGUUGGGCCCCGUCCCCCCCGCCGGGGGGACGGGCCCGAAAGGCAGCGGCGGCACCGCGUCCGGUCCUCGAGCGUAUGGGGCUUCGUCACCCGCUCUAGUAGGCCCGGCCGGCGCCAGCCGACCCCCAACCUUUAAUUAUCUCAGGUUGACCUCGGAUCAGGUAGGGAUACCCGCUGAACUUAAGCAUAUCAAUAA
rnacentral:misc_RNA from 1 species